AUGUAGGCCUAGAAAAAAAAAAAUCGCAAAGCCUCACUCACUUCCAUUCGAGCACCGAAAGUCAGUAGCCUAGGGGAAGGGCAAACUCUGUUUAUGUGGGCACCUGAGCUGAGCCUGCAUGAGCGGCAGCGGCCCUAGAAGGAGAUUGUCGCGGUUGUCGGGUGAGACGACUCAACGUUGUCGGAAAAGGUGAUCAUCAUUCGCAGGAUGAGGC